GGUGUGGCUCAAGAGGUAGCGCGCUCGCCUGGCAUGCAAGCGGCGCUGGGUUCAAUCCUCAGCACCA
rnacentral:tRNA from 1 species